rnacentral:rRNA from 1 species
CCCUUAGAUGUCCUGGGCCGCACGCGCGUUACACUGAUGCAUUCAACGAGCUUAUAACCUUGGCCGAGAGGCCUGGGCAAUCUUGUUAACGUGCAUCGUGAUAGGGAUAGAUUAUUGAAAUUAUUAAUCUUGAACGAGGAAUUCCUAGUAAACACAGAUCAUCAAUCUGCAUUGAUUACGUCCCUGCCCUUUGUACACACCGCCCGUCGCACCUACCGAUUGGAUGGUCCGGUGAAGCCUCGGGAUUGUGGUUCUUGCCGCUUUAUUGUAGCGUGACCGCGAGAACUUGUCUAAACCUUAUCAUCUAGAGGAAGGUGAAGUCGUAACA